rfam:Picea glauca, whole genome shotgun sequence.
ACAUGCCUACAACAUAGUGUUAAUGCACCAGAUCAAAUUAGAAUUCCACAAUUAAGCACGCUCAGGCUAGAGUAGUACCAGGAUGGGUGACCACCCGGGAACUCCUACUAUUUGACAUGCA